rnacentral:pre_miRNA from 1 species
UUCUAAUUCUCACUACAAACCCAUUUCUGGGGCUUAGAAAGAAUAAGCAAGCCCCAGAAAUGGGUUUGUAGUGAGAAUUAAAUGA